rnacentral:rRNA from 1 species
AACGAACGCUGGCGGCAUGCUUAACACAUGCAAGUCGCACGGGAACCUGGGGCUUGCUCCAGGGGAGAGUGGCGCACGGGUGAGUAACGCGUGGAUAACGUUCCCGUUGGUUUGGAAUAACCUGCCGAAAGGCGGGCUAAUACCAAGUAAGUUCCCUUGAGACUCGUCUUGGGGGGAAGAAAGCAGGGCAACUUGCGCCGACGGAUCGGUCCGCGUCCCAUCAGCUUGUUGGUGAGGUAACGGCUCACCAAGGCAACGACGGGUAGCUGGUCUGAGAGGAUGAUCAGCCACACUGGGACUGAGACACGGGCCCAGACACCUACGGGUGGCAG